UACGGAGGGUGCGAGCGUUGUCCGGAAUCACUGGGCGUAAAGGGCGCGUAGGCGGCAGGCCAAGCGUGCGGUGAAAGUCCGGGGCUCAACCCCGGAUCUGCCGUGCGGACUGGUUUGCUAGAGCACUGUAGAGGCGAGUGGAAUUCCGGGUGUAGCGGUGGAAUGCGUAGAGAUCCGGAAGAACACCGGUGGCGAAGGCGGCUCGCUUGGCAGUGGCUGACGCUGAGGCGCGACAGCGUGGGGAGCAAACAGG
rnacentral:rRNA from 1 species